rnacentral:rRNA from 1 species
UACGAAGGGUGCAAGCGUUACUCGAAAUUACUGGGCGUAAAGCGUGCGUAGGUGGUUCGUUAAGUCUGAUGUGAAAGCCCUGGGCUCAACCUGGGAAUGGCAUUGGAAACUGGCGACCUAGAGUGCGGUAGAGGGUAGUGGAAUUCCCGGUGUAGCAGUGAAAUGCGUAGAGAUCGGGAGGAACAUCUGUGGCGAAGGCGACUGCCUGGACCAGCACUGACACUGAGGCACGAAAGCGUGGGGAGCAAACAGG